rnacentral:rRNA from 1 species
AUUGAACGCUGGCGGCAUGCUUUACACAUGCAAGUCGAACGGCAGCACGGACUUCGGUCUGGUGGCGAGUGGCGAACGGGUGAGUAAUACAUCGGAACGUGCCCAGUUGUGGGGGAUAACUACUCGAAAGAGUAGCUAAUACCGCAUGAGAACUGAGGUUGAAAGCAGGGGAUCGCAAGACCUUGCGCAACUGGAGCGGCCGAUGGCAGAUUAGGUAGUUGGUGGGAUAAAAGCUUACCAAGCCGACGAUCUGUAGCUGGUCUGAGAGGACGACCAGCCACACUGGGACUGAGACACGGUCCAGACUCCUACGGGAGGCAGCAGUGGGGAAUUUUGGACAAUGGGCGCAAGCCUGACGACGCAACGCCGCGUGGAGGAUGAAGAUCUUCGGGUCGUAAACUCCUUUCGAUCGAGACGAACGGCCCUGGGGUGAACAAUCCCGGGGAGUGACGGUACCGAGAGAAGAAGCCCCGGCUAACUCCGUGCCAGCCGCCGCAGUAACAC